rnacentral:rRNA from 1 species
UACGAAGGGGGCUAGCGUUGCUCGGAAUCACUGGGCGUAAAGGGCGCGUAGGCGGGAUGGCAAGUCGGUCGUGAAAUCCUUCGGCUCAACCGAAGAACGUCGGCCGAUACUGCCGUUCUUGAGGGAUGCAGAGGAGACUGGAAUUCCCGGUGUAGCGGUGAAAUGUGUAGAGAUCGGGAGGAACACCGGUGGCGAAGGCGGGUCUCUGGGCAUGCUCCUGACGCUGAGGCGCGAAAGCGUGGGGAGCAAACGGG